rnacentral:rRNA from 1 species
UACGUAGGGUGCAAGCGUUAAUCGGAAUUACUGGGCGUAAAGCGUGCGCAGGCGGUUUUGUAAGUCUGUCGUGAAAGCCCCGGGCCCAACCUGGGAAUUGCGAUGGAGACUGCAAGGCUUGAAUCUGGCAGAGGGGGGUAGAAUUCCACGUGUAGCAGUGAAAUGCGUAGAGAUGUGGAGGAACACCGAUGGCGAAAGCGGCUCUCUGGAACGGUACUGACGCUGAGACGGCGAAAGCGUGGGGAGCGAAACAGGG